rnacentral:rRNA from 1 species
GCGUGAGUGAUGAAGGCCUUAGGGUUGUAAAACUCUUUCAGGGGUGAAGAUAAUGACGGUAACCCCAGAAGAAGCUCCGGCUAACUCCGUGCCAGCAGCCGCGGUAAUACGGAGGGAGCUAGCGUUGUUCGGAAUUACUGGGCGUAAAGCGCGCGUAGGCGGCCCAGCAAGUUGGGGGUGAAAUCCCGGAGCUCAACUCCGGAACUGCCCUCAAAACUGCUGAGCUAGAAUCCUGGAGAGGUGAGCGGAAUUCCUAGUGUAGAGGUGAAAUUCGU